rnacentral:rRNA from 1 species
AGGGUUCGAUUAUGGCUCAGGACGAACGCUGGCGGUGCGCCUUAUGCAUGCAAGUCGAGCGAAGCUUUUCAGUAGUUUACUACAGAAAAUGACUGAGCGGCGAACGGGUGAGUAACGCGUGAGCAAUCUACCUUAGUUACAGGGAUAGCCCGAGGAAACUCGGAUUAAUACCUGAUAUUCUUUAUUUCUCGCAUGAGAAUAAAAGGAAAGGUCAGCCGAACUAAGAUGAGCUCGCGUUCUAUCAGCUAGUUGGUGAGGUAAAAGCUUACCAAGGCUACGACGGAUAGCUGGUCUGAGAGGACGAUCAGCCACACUGGGACUGAGACACGGCCCAGACUCCUACGGGAGGCUGCAGCAGGGAAUAUUGUGCAAUGAACGAAAGUUUGACACAGCGACACCGCGUGUGGGAUGACGGAUCUAGGUUUGUAAACCACUUUCAGGAGGGAAGAAAAUGACGGUACCUCCACAAGAAGCCCCGGCCAACUACGUGCCAGCCGCCGCGGUAAUAC